rnacentral:rRNA from 1 species
GACGAACGCUGGCGGCGUGCUUAACACAUGCAAGUCGAGCGGUAAGGCCCUUUCGGGGGUACACGAGCGGCGAACGGGUGAGUAACACGUGGGUGACCUGCCCUUAGCUCUGGGAUAAGCCUGGGAAACGUGGGUCUAAUACCGGAUAUGACUCCAGUGACGGCAUGUUGUGGGGUGGAAAGCCUUGUGCGGCUAGGGAUGGGCCCGCGGCCUAUCAGCUUGUUGGUGGGGUGAUGGCCUACCAAGGGCGACGACGGGUAGCCGGCCUGAGAGGGCGACCGGCCACACUGGGGACU